AGCGUUGUUCGGAAUUACUGGGCGUAAAGGGCUCGUAGGCGGCCAACUAAGUCGGACGUGAAAUCCCUCAGCUUAACUGGGGAACUGCGUCUGAUACUGGAUGGCUUGGAUUCGGGAGAGGGAUGCGGAAUUCCAGGUGUAGCGGUGAAAUGCGUAGAUAUCUGGAGGAACACCGGUGGCGAAGGCGGCAUCCUGGACCGAUAUUGACGCUGAGGAGCGAAAGCCAGGGGAGCAAACGGG
rnacentral:rRNA from 1 species